GAAGUUUGAUGGCGUAAUCAUACUCAGGAGGGUCAUCAUUCAGCUCGGUUUCAAGACAGUCCCAGAAGGCCUUGUGCACCAUAUCUUUAACUCUCUUCUCCAGGCUUUAAGAAAAAAAAAGUUACCAAGCAACUGAACAUCAAGAGGGGCCCAGAUCUGGAGAUGGUAAAUGAUGGGAGAAAAAGGGAGUGAGGCAUAAAUGAUGAGGACAAGGUGAGGCAGAAUAAUGAGAUCAGGAAAUGAUGUGAAAUGACACAAAUUUGCUUCAUUGCAUUAGUGCCACAAUCGAUGUACAUGUACACUAACUACUAGAUUUAUUUCUAUUAAUUUUGUUAUGCCUUCCAACAGUUAACUGCAUUCAUUUCUUCAUUGUAAACACUGUUAAUAUGUUGAGUAGCUGCCCUAAACUGAUCUUCUUCGACAAGUGGUGUUCGAUACAGAUGCAUGGCUCAGAUUGAUGAGAAUGUGACAGAUCAUCACUGUGACCUCUAUAGGCUGCUCAACACUUCGGUCAGAGUUUGGCAGGAUGGAAAUCAGCUCCGAUCAUACCUCUCCAGAACAAGCUGUGAGGUUCUGUAGCGCUCCGAUGGAUGCCACCUUUGUGUGCUGGUUUGUGCUGACAGCAAUGAGAGAGAGAUACAUGCGGACGGUGAUGGCGCUCCAGAGCCACUCUACACCCUGAGGACUGCCGUUCUCCUCAAGUAACGGAUAGUCUUCAUCCGCUUCCUGAGCCUGAGGAACAUCAAGGUCUAAAGACGUACUGUUGCUGUUGAUAAAGAUGGGGAUUUAAUGGCCCAAAGUGUGCCAAGAAAAUAGCAGCAAAUAGCACCACCAGCAGCCUGAACCAAUGAGACGAGGCAGGAUGGACCCAUGCUUUCAUGUUCUUUAUGCCAACUUCUGACCCUACCAUCUGAAUGUUGCAGCAGAAAUCAAGACUCAUCA